GCAAAAUGAUGAAACAUUUUUUUUAAACAGUUAUCCCUGUCUAAAUAACUUUCGUGUUGAGAAAUGGUACCUGACAUUUAC
rnacentral:snoRNA from 1 species